rnacentral:lncRNA from 1 species
GUGUAUAAACUCCAAUGGAGAAAGAUGAGAGCUUGCUCUAGGUGAUUUAGAAAGAGAGAUUGAUGAGAGUGUUUACGAGAGAAUAAGAGACUUAGGAACAGAGAUUAAGAGACUGAGAGAUUAGGAGAAUAAGAGAUUAGAGAUUAGGGUUUCAGAUUCAAGAACAAGUUUUCAUUUCCAUGAAGUGGAGAGGAGAAAUCCCCCUUACUCCCUUAAAGCUUUACAAAACGUCACCAAUAGGUUUAUAUAUGCUUUUACAAUCUGCAAACUCAUAAACCUAUAUCUAAUGGCUCAUAAUAGAUUUGAAGGAUGGACGGUUCAGAUGGAGAGUUGGUAUGGCUUCAUCUGAUUGGUUAAACUCUCUUUGCUGUCUGAUUGGUUUAUUUGAAUCUGGUCAAGUAGAGACCAGCCUCUUAUUGGCUCCUUUUAGGCUCCUGAAUGUUCCCAUGUAUCUGUCCAGAUACAUGGUCAAUACACAGCUCAUGGACAGCUUGCACAGCCUGUCACUUAUCCACAAACAGUCCCAUGACUUAGAGAAAGACAAUGACACCCCUUAUGAUCAGAAUCACCUCUUUGCUUCUUCACACACUUAGCUCACGAGUUGCUUCUUCCUUGGGAUGCAAGUUAGGUCUUGUUACAAACAUCAGGGUGUGUACGAAAUGUUUUCCUGACCGUACCAACGCCCUAAUUUUGCACAAGACCUAAAAUGUCUCAAAUGAGUGAGUUAUGCUUCUCGGGUCGAUCCCAGUCCGUACAGGUCCGUACGGCCUCGUCCCGGUCUCGCCCUAUAUUUGCACACUCGCCCAUUUGCUCCUAAACCAUCUUCUAAGUCCCUCCUGGACUUGGCCCUAUCUUUGCACAACCCUUAGGACACUUCUGGAGACCUUCAGACACUUCAGGACUCUUGAUAGACAAUCUCUAUAAGACUUGUCCUAUCUUUGCACCAAACCCAAACUCCUCUAUACUUCUCCUUUGACUCCAUUUCUUUUCUUCAAAUUAACACUCCCCCUCAAGCUUGACUCUAGCUGAUCCUAAGUCAAGCUUGGAACCUUGAAGAACUUCCUCAUUAAAAACCUCACCAAGGAAAACCCUUUGGGACAAAACUUUGAUGAGGGAAAAAUAGUAAAGUCUCCAAGACCUAGGGAUUGGCCAGUGAGUCUUUGUGCCUUACCAACAAUGUAAGGGGAACAAAGACUCUGGAUCAUGGCCCUCAUGUGAUGCAAGAUAGAACCCACUCCUCUUGCUCAUCAUCAACACUUCUUGUACUCUUCUUCAGACAGAUCUUGGUCUCUCCUCCUUUCUCACAACCUUCUUGUUGUGAACAAGUGCUCGAACUACCAGAUCUUCCUUGAUAGAUACACCCUGAGUCUUGGCUGCUUCUUCUUCAUGAGUCACCACCAUGUUACUAAAACCUUCAUGAGAAUGCUUCAGCUGUAGUACCAAGACUGCUCUUCUCUUGAGGCCGCCUUGGAGAUCGCUUCACCCUUCUUCAUCAUGCUUCAUAACCGGCCUGCUCCUCUUCUUGAAUAACCACCAAGUACUCUCAGAUCAUGUAAGCUUCAACACUCCCCCUCAAGCUUGAGACUCUCACAGGAACAAGCUUGGAUGGAUAGCUUCAUGAUCUGCACCAUUACUCCAUUGCAACACCUUCUGAACUCGCCAUCUUCAUGGAGUGCUUGUGGAAGCUUCAGCUACCUCUUCAGCCACCUCACACUAGAAGCCGCACUGAUAGAGUCUUCAUCUUCUCACAGCCAAGAGUGCUCUGAACACUCUCUUGCCUAGACACGCCACUGCCUAGAUCCGGAUGGCUCCUUCUUCUUCAGUUGCUUGCAAUGGACCUUCUGAACCUUCUUGAUCCGACUGAUAGCUCACUAAAAUCCCCUCCUCAAGCUUGGAUUGAGUAUAAGUCCAAGCUUGCAAGUGAGCUUUUGUGAGACUUAACACCAGUGGCGCAUCACCACUUCUGUAUCAACUCUCCAUUGCACACACAAUGGGCAAACGUCUCCUACUUUCAACUCGGAUGGAUGUUGAACCAAGAACACAUCUUGUGAACCUGAAACAUCACUCAAACUCCAGCAAAGAUGAGACACAAUAGUAUUGGGAUCAAUCCUUGAUUAAUUAUCAAGUUUGAUUCCCAAUAUCACAAGCAUUGCAACAGAUUAAACAAGACAUUUUCAAGUUCUAAUCUUUGCAUGCAAACUCUCUAAGCACAAGGACUUUCUUUUCCUGAUUUAUGCAAGCUACUUAGGCAAUUUUAAAGAUUUUUUACUCAGCAAUUUAGACAUGAAUCUAAUGCUUCAAUGUAAGACAGCCACAAGACUAUAUGCAACAACUUCCAAUCAGUUUCAAUACAUGUAUGCAAGCAGAUUCAAUCAAUCAAAACAAGCAUCACUAUGAACUGGAGUUAAGCAUAUUAAACAAUCUCAAUCACCAAACAAAACUCUUUAAGCAUCCUGGGACAGAUUCUAAAUUCAUUUCAUUUCGUUUAGCAAUCUUUAAACAAUCCUCAGGUUUUCAAUCACAUCACAACAUCACAACCAGUCAACAACACACACAUUAUCAAGAAGGGAUAGUAAUAGCUUACAGCCAAGGAACCGGUUUGGUUCCUUGAACCUCCAAUGGCUUAUGGCUCACGGUUUUGUUGGACAUGAGAGUAUGUAUCGUCACCCAGCCUCUCCUCCUUCUACUCAUGGCCACCUUCUUGUUUCUACAGCUCAAACACCCCUCCUUUCUUCAUACAUCAAGUCGCCAUCUUCAUGACAUAUACUCUUCUUGUAGCCGGAUGCAAGCAGCUCAUGGACAAGGAGUUUUGGCUUGAGGUUCAUGACGCCUCUCCAUCCUCCUUUGCUUCCAACGUGGCUCUUCAUCAAGGCAGGUAUGAGAAAGGUUUGAGGAACCAGAAUGACACGCCAAGCUUCAGUCUUCAUGGAGAAGCUGAACCGGAUGGAGCUGUCUUCUUCAUGGCUUGGAUUUGAGCUGAGGGAUGUGUGUGGGAUGUGCGGAAGUUUCAACCAGAUUCUGAUGAACCUGGCUCUGAUACCAUGUGAGAUUUAUAGAGUUCUCUUCUCUGGUUGUGUUUGUGUGUGUAUAAACUCCAAUGGGGAAUAUGUAUCGUCACCCAGCCUCUCCUCCUUCUACUCAUGGCCACCUUCUUGUUUCUACAGCUCAAACACCCCUCCUUUCUUCAUACAUCAAGUCGCCAUCUUCAUGACAUCUUCUCUUCUUGUAGCCGGAUGCUAGCAGCUCAUGGACAAGGAGUUUUGGCUUGAGGUUCAUGACGCCUCUCCAUCCUCCUUUGCUUCCAACGUGGCUCUUCAUCAAGGCAGGUAUGAGAAAGGGUUGAGGAACCAGAAUGACACGCCAAGCUUCAGUCUUCAUGGAGAAGCUGAACCGGAUGGAGCUGUCUUCUUCAUGGCUUGGAUUUGAGCUGAGGGAUGUGUGUGGGAUGUGCGGAAGUUUCAACCAGAUUCUGAUGAACCUGGCUCUGAUACCAUGUGAGAUUUAUAGAGUUCUCUUCUCUGGUUGUGUUUGUGUGUGUAUAAACUCCAAUGGGGAAAGAUGAAAGCUUGCUCUAGGUGAUUUAGAAAGAGAGAUUGAUGAGAGUGUUUAUGAGAGAAUAAGAGACUUAGGAACAGAGAUUAAGAGACUGAGAGAUUAGGAGAAUAAGAGAUUAGAGAUUAUGGUUUCAGAUUCAAGAACAAGUUUUCAUUUCCAUGAAGUGGAGAGGGGAAAUCCCCCUUACUCACUUAAAGCUUUACAAAACGUCACCAAUAGGUUUAUAUAUGCUUUUACAAUCUGCGAACUCAUAAACCUAUAUCUAAUGGCUCAUAAUAGACUUGAAGGAUGGACGGUUCAGAUGGAGAUUUGGUAUGGGCUUCAUCUGAUUGGUUAAACUCUCUUUGUUGUCUGAUUGGUUUAUUUGAAUCUGGUCAAGUAGAGACCAACCUCUUAUUGGCUUCUUUUAGGCUCCUGAAUGUUCCCAUGUAUCUGUCCAGAUACAUGGUCAAUACACAGCUCAUGGACAGCUUGCACAGCCUGUCACUUAUCCACAAGCAGUCCCAUAACUUAGAGAAAGACAAUGGCGCCCCUUAUGAUCAGAAUCACCUCUUUGCUUCUUCACACACUUAGCUCACGAGUUGCUUCUUCCUUGGGAUGCAAGUUAGGUCUUGUUACAAACAUCUGGGUGUGUACGGAAUGCUUUCCUGACCGUACCAACGCCCUAAUUUUGCACAAGACCUAAAAUGUCUCAAAUGAGUGAGUUAUGCUUCUCGGGUCGAUCCCGGUCCGUACAAGCCCGUACGGCCUCGUCCCGGUCUCGCCCUAUAUUUGCAC